AUUGAACGCUGGCGGCAGGCCUAACACAUGCAAGUCGAGCGGAUGAAGGGAGCUUGCUCCUGGAUUCAGCGGCGGACGGGUGAGUAAUGCCUAGGAAUCUGCCUGGUAGUGGGGGAUAACGUCCGGAAACGGGCGCUAAUACCGCAUACGUCCUGAGGGAGAAAGUGGGGGAUCUUCGGACCUCACGCUAUCAGAUGAGCCUAGGUCGGAUUAGCUAGUUGGUGGGGUAAAGGCCUACCAAGGCGACGUUCCGUAACUGGUCUGAGAGGAUGAUCAGUCACACUGGAACUGAGACACGGUCCAGACUCCUACGGGAGGCAGCAGUGGGGAAUAUUGGACAAUGGGCGAAAGCCUGAUCCAGCCAUGCCGCGUGUGCGAAGAAGGUCUUCGGAUUGUAAAGCACUUUAAGUUGGGAGGAAGGGCAGUAAGUUAAUACCUUGCUGUUUUGACGUUACCAACAGAAUAAGCACCGGCUAACUUCGUG
rnacentral:rRNA from 1 species